rnacentral:rRNA from 1 species
UACGUAGGGUGCGAGCGUUGUCCGGAAUCAUUGGGCGUAAAGGGCGCGUAGGUGGCCCGGUCAGUCAGUGGUGAAAGCGCGGGGCUCAACUCCGCGUCGGCCAUUGAUACUGCUGGGCUGGAGCACUGUAGAGGCAGGCGGAAUUCCGGGUGUAGCGGUGGAAUGCGUAGAGAUCCGGAAGAACACCGGUGGCGAAGGCGGCCUGCUGGGCAGUUGCUGACACUGAGGCGCGACGAGCGUGGGGAGCAAACAGG